AUUCAAAAUAUACGACGGAGCCAUUUGAUGAGUACUCAUUCAAUAAUAAUAACAAUCCUUCCAACCUUAAAACUAUUUCAUUAUUGCAGGGAUUGAAAAGAAGAAAAGUAUCAUCAAAUGGCGAUAGUGACAAUCAAAUAAACACCUAUCUUCUUGAGCCGGUAGCGCCCGAGACAACUAACGUGCUAGAUUGGUGGAGAGGAAAUGAAAAUCGAUUUCCUCAUUUAGCUAAGAUGGCGCGAGACUUUCUAUGCCAACAAACAACUUCCGUGGCAUCGGAAAGAACUUUUUCUCUUGCUGGAAAUACUAUUACUAAAUUGAGGAACAGGAUGGCUCCCUCCACCCUAAAACAAUGCAUAUCGCUAUCAUCUUGGGAUAUAAAUAUAAUGGGCCUUCAUGACGAUAUAUGGCAAUAAUCUGUUAGGCAUAGCUGGAGUCUAUAUCCACGAGCAAGAUGAGAUGCAUUCGAUUCGUGUUUAUGAAAAAAUUAUAUAAAUAUAAUUAAUAUUGUAUUUUAUAUUCUAUUGUAUAUAUUUUUAUUUAAAUCAAAUUUUAAAAAUAAAUUUAUU